CCUACGGGUGGCAGCAGUGAGGAAUAUUGGUCAAUGGGCGAGAGCCUGAACCAGCCAAGUCGCGUGAAGGAUGAAGGAUCUAUGGUUGGUAAACUUCUUUUAUAUGGGAAUAAAGUGAGAAACGUGUUCCUUUUUGUAUGUACCAUAUGAAUAAGCAUCGGCUAACUCCGUGCCAGCAGCCGCGGUAAUUCGGAGGAUGCGAGCGUUAUCCGGAUUUCUUGGGUUUAAAGGGUGCGUAGGUGGGUAAUUAAGUCCGCGGUGAAAGUGUGUGGCUCAACCAUAAGAUUGCCGUUGAAACUGGGUGACUGGAGUGUAUUUGAGGCAGGCGGAAUGCGUGGUGUAGCGGUGAAAUGCAUAGAUAUCACGCAGAACUCCGAUUGCGAAGGCAGCAUACCAGCCUAUAACUGACGCUGAAGCACGAAAGCGUGGGUAUCGAACAGGAUUAGAUACCCCAGUAGUC
rnacentral:rRNA from 1 species